GGCUCCGUCGUCUAGUGUUCCAAGACGUCAGGUUCUCAUCCUGAAGAUCGCGGGUUCGACUCCCGCCGGGGUCACCA
rnacentral:tRNA from 1 species